rnacentral:rRNA from 1 species
AGUGAACGCUGGCGGUAGGCCUAACACAUGCAAGUCGAACGGCAGCACAGGAGAGCUUGCUCUCUGGGUGGCGAGUGGCGGACGGGUGAGGAAUACAUCGGAAUCUACUCUGUCGUGGGGGAUAACGUAGGGAAACUUACGCUAAUACCGCAUACGACCUACGGGUGAAAGCAGGGGACCUUCGGGCCUUGCGCGAUUGAAUGAGCCGAUGUCGGAUUAGCUAGUUGGCGGGGUAAAGGCCCACCAAGGCGACGAUCCGUAGCUGGUCUGAGAGGAUGAUCAGCCACACUGGGACUGAGACACGGUCCAGACUCCUACGGGAGGCAGCAGUGGGGAAUAUUGGACAAUGGGCGCAAGCCUGAUCCAGCCAUACCGCGUGGGGGAAGAAGGCCUUCGGGUUGUAAAGCCCUUUUGUUGGGAAAGAAAUCCAGCUGGCUAAUACCCGGUUGGGAUGACAGUACCCAAAGAAUAAGCACCGGCUAACUUCGUGCCAGCCGCCGCAGUAA